rnacentral:rRNA from 1 species
ACAGCAGUAGCCACGGUAAUACGUAGGGUGCAAGCGUUAAUCGGAAUUACUGGGCGUAAAGCGUGCGCAGGCGGUUAUAUAAGACAGAUGUGAAAUCCCCGGGCUCAACCUGGGAACUGCAUUUGUGACUGUAUAGCUAGAGUACGGCAGAGGGGGAUGGAAUUCCGCGUGUAGCAGUGAAAUGCGUAGAUAUGCGGAGGAACACCGAUGGCGAAGGCAAUCCCCUGGGCCUGUACUGACGCUCAUGCACGAAAGCGUGGGGAGCAAACAGGAUUAGAUACCCGAGUAGUCCCUGUCUCUUAUAC